ensembl:lncRNA
CUCCAAUCAUACAUUUCUAGUGGGCUUAGAAACAGAGCAUUAUUAUGCUCCUGGGCCACAGAGUUGGGUGUGCGACCUAAUUCCCUUGGCAAAUAUUCCCGUGGCACGUGACUAAAGACUAGCCAAUCAGAGUUCUUUCCUGAGAAAUGCGUAAGUUUUACAAGUGGGGAGAGUUCUCAUUCAUUUUUGGUCACAGAGCUGCGAGAACGUGUUCAAGAGCUACAGUCAGCCGUAUCCUCUACCAUGUAGAAUGUCCGAGAGAAUGAAAAAGACAAAAGCUGAAGGGAAGAAGAGGAAGAGAACCAUAUCAGCAGACAGAGGUGGAAAAAAGAAGCCACGGAAAGAGGUUGGUGGUGGGAUGCUCAUGUGUGCUGUCAGGCUCUUGACGCUGCAAGGACCAGCGCCUCACUCAGGUCGCCUUCGGGAAAAGUGCAAGGACACAUGUGGGUUGCUGUGAAGAGCCAAUAAGACAAUGCCCGUGAAACUCUUAGCCUACCUCCCGGCACAGAUAAGUGCUCUUUGAAUGCUAGUUGCCAUGGCUGUGUCAUCAUCAUCAUCAUCAUUGUUUUCAUUAUGAUACUUUCAAGUUGCAGGUCCUUCCAGUUGUGGGAUGUGGGACGCCGCCUCAAUGUGGCCUGACGAGCAGUGCCAUGUCCGCGCCCAGGAUCCGAACCCUGGGCCACCGCAGCGGAGCGCACGAACUUAACCACUCGGCCUCGGAGCCGGCCCCGCAAGAUUUGAUACUUCAUUAUAAAAGAGAUUCCUAUUGUUAACUGAGUUUUCAGGCUGGUAGCUUUCCUAGGAAGGUCAGUGGUGCCCACUGGACCCUCUCUUGGCUUAUUGGCUGAGUUCAUUGAUGAAGAAGCCUUGAGUUCAUCAUUUUUUCUUCUCUAAUGACUGAGAUGGCAGUCAAUGAAGAAUGACUGCAGAAAGUUUCAGAAGGACACAUGGGAAUCAUUUCACCAGCCCAAUAAAAUCAGCUAUUUAUGUGGAGCCUGACUCCCCUGCCCUUGAGUGUGGGCUGAACGGAGUGGCUCCCUUCUAAUGAGAGAAUUCGGCGGAAGUGAUGGUUUGUGACUUCCAAGACCAGGUCAUAAAAGACAUUGCACUUCCUCCUUGUCCUCCCUGGUGAACUGUGGAUUGCUCGCUCUGGGGGAAGCUGGCUGCUAUGUCAUAAGAUCACUCAAACAGCCCUAUGGAGAGGACCUCAUGGCAAGGAACUGUGGAGUCCUGCCAUCCAUCAACAAAGCACUGGGGCCCUCCGGCAAGUAACCACUGAGUGAGCCAAAUCGGGAGUGAAUCUUCCGGCCCCAGUCAAUCCUCAAAAUGAUUACAGCCCCAGUUGACAUCUUGACGCCUCCUCACGAGAAACCCUGAGCCGGAGCCAUCCUCCUAAACUGCUUCCACAUUCCUGACCCUCAGAAACUGUGAGAUAAUAAAUGUUCAUUGUUUUACGCUGAUUAAUUGUGGAGUAGUUUGUUAUGUAGCAAUAAAUAACUAAUACAGCCAUCUUCACCCCUACCCCACCCCCAGGGCCCCCCACGUUGACUUGGAGCUGGGAAUCUGCCAGGGCUGCAAUAGAAAAGUGUUCUGACGUCCCAAGGUGGAAUUCUGAAUGGAUUUACCGUAGAAACAUAGCUCCAUGCAUAGUUGUAUAUGUACAUAUACAUAUGUAAAUACAUAGGAGAAGUCUGGAAGAAACAAGCCACACUGUUAAUAGUGGUAGAGCCAGAGCUAGGAGAGGGAGUGGGAUCAGGGGUC